rnacentral:rRNA from 1 species
UACGUAGGGUGCAAGCGUUGUCCGGAAUUAUUGGGCGUAAAGAGCUCGUAGGCGGUUUGUUGCGUCGGCUGUGAAAACCCGGGGCUCAACCCCGGGCCUGCAGCCGAUACGGGCAGACUAGAGUUCGGCAGGGGAGACUGGAAUUCCUGGUGUAGCGGUGAAAUGCGCAGAUAUACAGGAGGAACACCGGUGGCGAAAGGCGGGUCUCUGGACCACUACUGACGCUGAGGAACGAAAGCUAGGGGAGCAAACAGGG